rnacentral:rRNA from 1 species
AUUGAACGCUGGCGGCAGGCCUAACACAUGCAAGUCGAACGCGUGGCGGACGGGUGUGUAAUGUCUGGGAAACUGCCUGAUGGAGGGGGAUAACUACUGGAAAAGGUAGCUAAUACCGCAUACUAUUGGAUGGGCCCAUAUGGGUUUAGCUAGUCGGUGGGGUAAAGGCUCACCUAGGCGACGAUCCCUAGCUGGUCUGAGAGGAUGACCAGCCACACUGGAACUGAGACACGGUCCAGACUCCUACGGGAGGCAGCAGUGGGGAAUAUUGCACAAUGGGCGCAAGCCUGAUACAGCCAUGCCGCGUGUAUGAAGAAGGCCUUCGGGUUGUAAAGUACUUUCAGCGGGGAGGCGUUACCCGCAGAAGAAGCACCGGCUAACUCCGUGCCAGCAGCCGCGGUAAUAC